UAGAGUUUGAUCAUGGCUCAGGACGAACGCUGGCGGCGUGCUUAACACAUGCAAGUCGAACGGAAUCCAGUGUGUAGCAAUACACAGGAAGAUUUAGUGGCGAACGGGUGAGGAACACGUGAGAAACCUGCCCCGAACUCUGGGAUAACAGUUGGAAACGACUGCUAAUACCGGAUGCCGUCGAGGAGUCGCAUGGCUCUUUGACGAAAGAAUCUUGGUUCGGGAGGGUCUCGCGACCUAUCAGCUUGUUGGCGGGGUAAUGGCCCACCAAGGCUACGACGGGUAGCUGGUCUGAGAGGAUGAUCAGCCACACUGGGACUGAGACACGGCCCAGACUCCUACGGGAGGCAGCAGUGGGGAAUCUUGCGCAAUGGGCGAAAGCCUGACGCAGCAACGCCGCGUGCGGGAAGAAGGCCUUCGGGUUGUAAACCGCUUUCAGCAGGAACGAAAAUGACGGUACCUGCAGAAGAAGGUGCGGCCAACUAUGUGCCAGCAGCCGCGGUGAUACAUAGGCACCAAGCGUUGUCCGGAUUUAUUGGGCGUAAAGAGCUCGUAGGCGGUUCAGUCAGUCGGGUGUGAAAACUCUGGGCUUAACCCAGAGC
rnacentral:rRNA from 1 species